rnacentral:rRNA from 1 species
GACGGAGGAUGCAAGUGUUAUCCGGAAUCACUGGGCGUAAAGCGUGCGUAGGUGGUUUGUUAAGUCUGAUGUGAAAGCCCUGGGCUCAACCUGGGAAUUGCAUUGGAUACUGGCAGGCUAGAGUGCGGUAGAGGAUGGCGGAAUUCCCGGUGUAGCAGUGAAAUGCGUAGAGAUCGGGAGGAACAUCUGUGGCGAAGGCGGCCAUCUGGACCAGCACUGACACUGAGGCACGAAAGCGUGGGGAGCAAACAGG